CGGGCUGAGUAACACGUAGGAACGUACCCCAAAGUGAGGCAUAAGCACCAGAAAUGGUGUCUAAUACCGCAUGUGAUCUUCGGAUUAAAGCUUCGGCGCUUUGGGAACGGCCUGCGUAUGAUUAGUUUGUUGGUGAGGUAAUGGCUCACCAAGACUACGAUCAUUAGCUGGUCUGAGAGGAUGAUCAGCCAGACUGGGACUGAGAACGGCCCAG
rnacentral:rRNA from 1 species